CCUACGUGUGGCAGCAGUGAGGAAUAUUGGUCAAUGGGCGCGAGCCUGAACCAGCCAAGUAGCGUGAAGGCUGACUGCCCUACGGGUUGUAAACUUCUUUUAUCAAGGAAUAAAGUGAGGCUCGUGUGCCUUUUUGUAUGUACUUUAUGAAUAAGGAUCGGCUAACUCCGUGCCAGCAGCCGCGGUAAUACGGAGGAUCCGAGCGUUAUCCGGAUUUAUUGGGGUUAAAGGGAGCGUAGAUGGGUUGUUAAGUCAGUUGUGAAAGUUUGCGGCUCAACCGUAAGAUUGCAAUUGAUACUGGCAGCCUUGAGUACAGGUGAGGUAGGCGGAAUUCGUGGUGUAGCGGUGAAAUGCUUAGAUAUCACGAAGAACUCCGAUUGCGAAGGCAGCCUACUAAACUGCCACUGACAUUGAGGCUCGAAAGUGUGGGUAUCAAACAGGAUUAGAUACCCUGGUAGUC
rnacentral:rRNA from 1 species